rnacentral:lncRNA from 1 species
UACCUAAGGAAGACUGACGGGCUUUGCAUUCCUCCCCCCUCCCUUCUUGCAGUCGCUGAACCCCAACCUGCUGGCUGUGGUGACCGAGAGCACGGACACCCACCCGGAGCGCUCGUUCAUUGGAAUCUAUCUGAUCGACGGUGUCACCGGUCGGAUCAUCCAUUCCUCGGUGCAGAAGAAGGCCGAGGGGCCGGUGCACAUUGUCCAUUCGGAAAACUGGGUGGUGGUAAGUGUUUGCCCCCUCCCAAAGCUGCAGGAGCUUGUAGGGCCAAGUCAUGAGAGACAGAGGGAGAGGAAGAAAGAGGAAGAGAGAGGGAGGGAGAGAAGGAGGGAGAGAGAGGAAGAGAAGGAGGGAGAGAGGAUGAGAAAGAAAGAGAGAAAGAGAGAGAAAGAAAGAAAAAGGGAAAAAGAGGAGAGAAAGAAAGAAAGAAAGAAAGAAAGAAAGAAAGAAAGAAAGAAAGGGAGAGAGGAAGAGAAAGAAAAAGAAAGAGGGAGAGAAAAAGAGAAAAAAGAGGAAGAGGAAGAGAAAGAAAGAGGGAGAGAGAGAGAGACAGAGAGAGAGAGAGACCUCCAUGGACUUGAGGAAUGUGGCUUUAUUAUUAGAGACCCUCCUUCUCUCCGCAGUACCUCUACUGGAACGCCAAGGCCCGUCGGAACGAGUUCACAGUGCUGGAGCUGUACGAGGGCACCACGCAAUACAACGCCACGGCCUUCAGCUCCUUGGACCGGCCCUACUCGCCCCAGGUGCUGCAGCAGUCCUACAUCUUCCCCUCCGCCAUCAGCACCCUGGAAGCUACCAUCACCGAACGGGGCGUCACGAGUCGCCAUCUGCUGAUCGGUCUUCCCUCGGGGGCCAUUUUGUCCCUUCCGAAGGCUUUGCUGGAUCCACGGCGGCCGGAAGUCCCCACAGAGCAAACGAGGGAAGAAAACCUGAUCCCUUAUUCCCCGGAUGUGCAAAUCCACGCCGAGAGGUUCAUCAACUACAAUCAAACCAUCUCCCGAAUGAGGGGCAUUUACACAGCCCCAUCGGGCCUGGAGUCCACUUGUCUGGUGGUGGCUUAUGGGUUAGACAUCUACCAGACCAGAGUCUACCCCUCCAAACAGUUCGACGUCCUCAAAGACGAUUAUGAUUAUGUCUUGAUCAGCAGCGUGCUGUUCGGGCUGGUCUUCGCCACCAUGAUCACCAAGAGGCUGGCCCAGGUGAAGCUGCUGAACCGGGCCUGGCGGUAACGGUAGAGAAGCACACAGGCCCACUUUUGACGGCGGAACGGCCGAGCCCUUGCGAGUGGGUUGCAGUCCCAUUUGAAAGGGAGGGGGUACUGCCCGCUUUCCACCCACCCCGGAGGAAGAAGGAACCAUGGAACUGCCCUGCCGAUUGCCCGAUUCACUGCGGAAAACGAGAAAUUCCAGAAAUGGGGAAGGUCCUGUGAAAUUAUUAAGCCGCUUUCCCCCCCCGUCCUUCGAUGCCAGCGCUGCGAAUCUGCUUUGCUGCUUGAAACUUUUUUUACGAUGAACCUUUUUUUCAACUCCUGAAGCUGUGAUAAAACAUUGUCAUCCUGUUUCUUCCCCCCUGAAAUUUUAGCUCAGAUUUCAGCCAGAUUUCUCUAUAGAGCCUGUUUCGGUUCUCUUCCCCCCCCCCACCCCCCAAGGAAGAAAAUGGCUGUGGAGAAAGAAAGAAAGAAAAAAACACCACCCCAGUCUUUUGAGAGAAUGUGUGAAAAUAUCAGCUUGGAAAAUGCAGGUGAUGAAUUUGGGAAAAUGGAUAUAAAUCAGGCAAAAAAAUGAACCUGUUCCAUCUUCCAUCUCGCAAGGAAUUCAAAGGGAGACUUGACUUGUCUUUUCCUUGCACUGAAUUUUUAAACUUAUUUUUUUAAUUGGCUCCUUUUGUUCUCAGAUUGUUUUCCCCUCCUUUGUCUUAUUAUAGUUCCUAAUUUAUAUUGACUUUUGGGGGGGAAUCUGUCCAGCUUUGGGUUAUGGGAGUACUUGAAGCUCAUUGAAAAAAAACAAAAAACAAGUUUUGACUUUCUGAAUGAAAACAUUUUCCUGAAUGUGUUUUUUGUUUUCUCUUUAUGGCAAGUGAGUGGCUUGCUAAGAGUUUGUUGGUUUAUUUAUAUUUAUUUUGAGGAGGGUUUUGGGUUGCGGUGGGCAGAGUCUAAAUCUGGAGUUUGCAGGGUAGAAAUUUGCAUUUUCUGUCGGGGAAAAAUGUGAAGUCAGACCUAUUUCCGCCUGUAUCCAGUUCAGGCACAGCAGAAAUAAAAGAAAUCACAGUGAA